rnacentral:rRNA from 1 species
AAUAGAUACCCGGGUAGUCCACGCCGUAAACGAUGAGUGCUAAGUGUUGGGGGGUUUCCGCCCCUUAGUGCUGCAGCUAACGCAUUAAGCACUCCGCCUGGGGAGUACGGUCGCAAGACUGAAACUCAAAGGAAUUGACGGGGGCCCGCACAAGCGGUGGAGCAUGUGGUUUAAUUCGAAGCAACGCGAAGAACCUUACCAGGUCUUGACAUCCCAUUGACCACUAUGGAGACAUAGUUUUCCCCUCGGGGACAACGGUGACAGGUGGUGCAUGGUUGUCGUCAGCUCGUGUCGUGAGAUGUUGGGUUAAGUCCCGCAACGAGCGCAACCCUUGUUCUUAGUUGCCAUCAUUUAGUUGGGCACUCUAAGGAGACUGCCGGUGACAAACCGGAGGAAGGUGGGGAUGACGUCAAAUCGAUCAUGCCCCUUAUGACCUGGGCUACGCACGUGCUACAAUGGACGGUACAAACGGUUGCCAAACCCGGUGAGGGGGGUAGCUAAUCCGGAUAAAACCGGCUCUCAGUUCGGAUUGUAGGCUGCAACUCGCCUACAUGGAACG